rnacentral:rRNA from 1 species
GGAAUAUUGCACAAUGGGGGAAACCCUGAUGCAGCGACGCCGCGUGAGUGAAGAAGUAUUUCGGUACGUAAAGCUCUAUCAGCAGGGAAGAAAAUGACGGUACCUGACUAAGAAGCCCCGGCUAACUACGUGCCAGCAGCCGCGGUAAUACGUAGGGGGCAAGCGUUAUCCGGAUUUACUGGGUGUAAAGGGAGAGUAGACGGCAUUGCAAGUCCGGAGUGAAAGCCCACGGCCCAACCGUGGGACUGCUCUGGAAACUGUAGAGCUGGAGUGCGGGAGGGGCAGGCGGAAUUCCUAGUGUAGCGGUGAAAUGCGUAGAUAUUAGGAGGAACACCGGCGGCGAAGGCGGCCUGCUGGACCGUAACUGACGUUGAGGCUCGAAAGCGUGGGGAGCAAA